rnacentral:misc_RNA from 1 species
GUUCAAUCUUGCUGGAUGAUACACCCACAAUGACUGGCGAGAAAUUGGCACGCAACAAUAACCAGUCUGUUAGAGGAUUCGAAGUCGUCGAUGAUGCCAAGGCCGAAGUUGAGAGCAUAUGUCCUGGAGUCGUUUCAUGUGCUGAUAUUGUGGCAGUAGCAGCUCGUGAUGCUUCUGUUGCUGUUGGUGGACCGUCAUGGACAGUGAAGCUCGGAAGGAGAGACUCUACCUCUGCAAGCCG